rnacentral:rRNA from 1 species
AACGAACGCUGGCGGCAUGCCUAACACAUGCAAGUCGAACGAGACCUUCGGGUAUCUUGGCGCACGGGUGCGUAACGCGUGGGAACCUGCACUUAGGUUCGGAAUAACUCCCCGAAAGGGGUGCUAAUAACGGAUAAUGUCUUCGGUCAAAAGAUUUAUCGCCGUUGGAUGGGCCCGCCUUAGAUUAGCUAGUUGGUAGAGUAAAAGCCUACCAAGGCUACGAUGCAUUGCUGGUCUGAGCGGAUGACCAGCCACCCUGGGACUGAGACACGGCCCAGACUCCUACGGGAGGAAGCAGUGGGGAAUAUUGGACAAUGGGCGAAAGCCUGAGCCAUCAAUGCCGCGUGAGUGAUGAAGGCCUUAGGGUUGUAAAGCUCUUUUACCCGGGAUGAUAAUGACAGUACCGGGAGAAUAAGCCCCGGCUAACUCCGUG